GUUCCAAGAAUAUCCUAAGAUGAUAAUGUUCAUCGUUUUCAUGUUGUCUUAUACAUAAAACUACUAUAAUUAACUAUCUUGCAUCAUGGUCGAGAUGAGGCUUCUCUCCUCUCUCCCAGAGUUGAGGGCGACUAGGGUUCCCUGUCCUCCCGUCCUUCCUCUCCGAUCUAUACAGUGAUGGCGUUGCAGGGCUUCCUCUACGACGUCCUUUGCAGCUUUUUGACACUUCAUGUUGAAGUGCCGUUGUGCUUGGUGGUCAUGGUUCUUCGUUCGGCCCCGCCUCAAUCCUCAUCCAUGGCUGAUUGUCGUCGCGGUUUUUAUAGGCGGCUGCACACCUAGGCUUGUUUGUUGAGUCGAUGGGUGGCGCUAUUCACAAUAUUAAAGACGAGCGUGGACUGCUUGUUGAUGCGAUGGUGACCACGGUUGCGCUGGUGCAAUGCACGUGGAGCUGUUGGAGCCUGUUGUUUUGGAUUUGGGCUUAAGGCCCAAGGUUACUGGUCAUGGGCUUUGUGAUGAUAGUCCUAUGGCUCAGGUUGUAGGUGCUUCUGGGGCAAUAAGGAGUCCUAGAAGCAUUAUCAAUAAUUUGGGGGAUAGGCUAGUGACCUUGACAUAUGGUUAUUGACGGGUUAUUCCGUUAUUAUGUGUUAUUUGCCUCUUGCUAUUUUUAAUGGAUCAAUACCCCAAUUCAGGACAAAAAAAAAUCGUUUAUAACAAAAUAUUAGUAUUAUUUACACGGUCAUAAAGUGACUAAAGAUUUUGUAGUCACAGGCUCUUAAAUUAAUAAUGAAGAUUAAGAAAUUUCUGAAGAA